rnacentral:snRNA from 1 species
AUCUCGCGCAGUGGCAAGAUCGUAGCCUAUGAGGUUUAACCGAGGCGUGAUUAUUGCUGGUUGAAAUCUUAACCCAAUACCCUGCCACGACAACUUGAAAUAUAGUUGGCUUUGGCAAUAGUGGGCAGUGGUGGCUU